rnacentral:rRNA from 1 species
UACGUAGGGGGCAAGCGUUGUCCGGAUUUAUUGAGCGUAAAGAGCUCGUAGGUGGCUCGGUAAGUCGGGUGUGAAAUUUCGAGGCUCAACCUCGAGACGCCACCUGAUACUGCUGUGGCUAGAGUCCGGUAGGGGAGCGUGGAAUUCCCGGUGUAGCGGUGAAAUGCGCAGAUAUCAGGAGGAACACCAGCGGCGAAGGCGGCGCUCUGGGCCGGUAUUGACGCUGAGGCGCGAAAGCCAGGGGAGCAAACGGG